rnacentral:ncRNA from 1 species
AAUAAUAAGAACAUGAUGUUGGUUCAGAUUAAACGCUAAAUAAGGACAUGACACAUGCAAAUCAAACGUUUAUUAUUGAUUAAAAUAAUAAAUAUGUGGUGUAAACGUGAGUAAUAAUAUAGGAAUUAUGAACUAUAAAAUAAUUUAAAUAAUUAAUAUUAUAAUAUUAUAUAUUGUAUAUAUAUAUAUUAUAUAAAGAAUAUAUUUAUUUAUAUAAAUAUAUUUAUUUAUAGUCAAGCCUAUAAUAGUUUAGGUAGUAGGUUAAUUAACAGUUUGUAUUAUAACCUAGCCAACGAUCUAUAGUUAAUAAUGAAAGUUAUAAUAACCACGUUGACUAUGAAAUAUAGUCAAUAUCUAUAUGAUACAGCAGUGAGGAAUAUUGGACAAUGAUCGAAAGAUUGAUCCAGUUACUUAUUAGAAUGAUAUAUAAUCUAUAAUUUAUUAUUAUUAAUAAUAAUUUAUUAUUAUUAAUAUAAAUAUUUUAAUAAAAUAUAUAUAAAUUGAUUAAAAAUAAAAUUCAUAAAUAGUUUAAAUAAUGAUAUAAACUACCUUUUAAUAUAUAUAAAAGGAUAUAAUAAUUUAUUAUUAUAUUUUAAUUAGUCCUAACCAAUAUUUGUGCCAGCAGCUGCGGUAAUACAAAGAGGGCUAGCGUUAAUCAUAAUGGUUUAAAGGAUACGUAGAAUUAAAUAUCUAACUUCAUUACUUUAAAUAAAUAUAAAAUUUAUAUUAUUGGAUGAGUUGAAGUAUAUUUUAGAGUUAAUAAUUAUUAAUUAAAGAAUUAUAAUAGUAAGGAUGAAAUAAUUAUAAUAAUUAUAAGACUGGUAUAUGUGAAAAUAUUAAUUAAUUAUUAACUGACAUUGAGGUAUUAAGACUAGAGUAGCGAAACGGAUUCGAUACCCGUGUAGUUCUAGUAGUAAACUAUGAGUACCAUAUAUAUAAAUAUUAUAUUAUUUAUAUAUAUACAUGAAAAUGAAAGUAUUCCACCUGAAGAGUACGUUAGCAAUAAUGAAACUCAAAACAAUAGACGGUUACAGACUUAAGCAGUGGAACAUGUUAUUUAAUUCGAUAAUCCACGAUUAAUCUUACCAUAUUUUGUAUAUAUUAUAUAUAUUUAUAUAUAAUAUACAGGCAUUACAUUGUUGUCUUUAGUUCGUGCUGCAAAGUCUUAGAUUAAGUUCAUUAACGAACAUAACUCCAUAUAUAUUUAUUAAAUAAUAUAUAAUUAAUAAUAUAUUUAUAAUAUAUUAUUAUAAAGGAAUUAAGACAAAUCAUAAUGAUCCUUAUAAUAUGGGCUAUAGACGUGUUAUAAUAAAAUGAUAAUAAAAUUAUAUUAAAUAUAUUAUAAAAUAUAUAUAAUUAAUAAUAUAAAACAUUUUAAUUAUUAAUAUAAUUAUAUAUUAUAUUAUAAUAUGAAUUAUAAUCUGAAAUUCGAUUAUAUGAAAUAAGAAUUGCUAGUAAUACAUAAAUUAGUAUGUUAUGGUGAAUAUUCUAACUGUUUCGCACUAAUCACUCAUCACGCGUUGAAAUAUAUUAUUAUCUUAAUAUAUAUAUUAUAUAUAAUAUUUUGUUAUAUUUUAUAUAAAAUAUAUAACUGAAAUAAUAUUAAUUAAUGCGAAGUUGAAAUACAGUUACUGUAGGGGAACCUGCAGUGGGAUUAUAAAACUC